rnacentral:misc_RNA from 1 species
UGGUUCUGGCAUCGAUGAAGAACGCAGCGAAAUGCGAUAAGUAAUGUGAAUUGCAGAAUUCAGUGAAUCAUCGAAUCUUUGAACGCACAUUGCGCCCUUUGGUAUUCCGAGGGGCACGCCUGUUCGAGCGUCAUUUAAACCAUCAAGCCCAGCUUGGUCUUGGACGAGGUCGAGUGACCCGUCUGCAACCCGUUGGCGGUACGGUCCGGCUUCAAGCGUAGCAAAAAUUUCGCUUCAGGAGUCCGCGGCGGUGCUCGCCAGGUAAUUAUACUCAAAGUUUGACCUCGGAUCAGGUGAGGAUACCCGCUGA